UGAGAGGUAGGCUAUAUUUAAGCCAAAAGGCUCAUAACCUUUCGAAAAGUUCUAAAACUUUCUCUUGA
rnacentral:tRNA from 1 species